rnacentral:rRNA from 1 species
GGAAUAUUGGACAAUGGGCGCAAGCCUGAUCCAGCCAUGCCGCGUGCAGGAUGACGGUCCUAUGGAUUGUAAACUGCUUUUAUACGAGAAGAAACACUACUUCGUGAAGUAGCUUGACGGUAUCGUAAGAAUAAGGAUCGGCUAACUCCGUGCCAGCAGCCGCGGUAAUACGGAGGAUCCAAGCGUUAUCCGGAAUCAUUGGGUUUAAAGGGUCCGUAGGCGGUUUAAUAAGUCAGUGGUGAGAGCCCAUCGCUCAACGGUGGAACGGCCAUUGAUACUGUUAGACUUGAAUUAUUAGGAAGUAACUAGAAUAUGUAGUGUAGCGGUGAAAUGCUUAGAGAUUACAUGGAAUACCAAUUGCGAAGGCAGGUUACUACUAAUUGAUUGACACUGAGAGACGAAAGCUAGGGGAGCGAAUGGGAUUAGAUACCCGGG